rnacentral:rRNA from 1 species
CGAACGCUGGCGGCGCGCCUAAUACAUGCAAGUCGAGCGAGAAGGUGUAGCAAUACACUUGUAAAGCGGCGAACGGGUGAGGAAUGCAUGGGUAACCUACCCUCGAGUGGGGAAUAACUAGCCGAAAGGUUAGCUAAUACCGCAUACGCUUCCGGGACUUCGGUUCUGGAAGGAAAGCAAUACCGUGGGUAUUGCGCUCAUGGAUGGGCUCAUGUCCUAUCAGCUUGUUGGUGAGGUAACGGCUCACCAAGGCUUCGACGGGUAGCUGGUCUGAGAGGACGAUCAGCCACACUGGCACUGCGACACGGGCCAGACUCCUACGGGAGGCAGCAGUAAGGAAUAUUGCGCAAUGGACGAAAGUCUGACGCAGCGACGCCGCGUGGGGGAUGAAGGUCUUCGGAUUGUAAACCCCUUUCGGGAGGGAAGAUGGAGUGGGUAACCACUUGGACGGUACCUCCAGAAGCAGCCACGGCUAACUUCGUGCCAGCAG